rnacentral:tRNA from 1 species
CAAAGAAUAGUUUAAAUAAAAUAAUAAUUUUGGAGAUUAUUGAUAGAUAUCAUUAUUUUUCUUUGA